ensembl:lncRNA
AAUUUAAUCACAUGCUUUCUUAAAAGCAGAGAGCCUUUCCCACUUGUGGCGAGAGAGGGAAGAUGGCGGAAGGGCGGUGAGAGACUCAACAUGGCUGACUUUCAAGAUGGAGGAAGAGGCUGGGCGUCACGGGGAGCAGGUGGCCCUGAGAAGCUGGGAGAUGCCUCUCCCUUUUAACUGAAAAAUAAGCACAAAGAUAACCCCCAUGUCUGCACAAAGCCAAACAAAUCCCUGUGAACAAACGGUACAGACAAGCCAAGUGGAAGCUACACAAUGGAACUCAGUCUGCAGUGGAUUAAAGGCGCUCACAUACACUUGGAUGCUCCUCCCAGGGAGAGGUGCUCCUAGUCUCUGGGACAGUUGUGUGGGACCCCUGCUGAGGCUGCCAUGCUGUGAGGAACCCCAAGCUGACUAUAGGAAGAUGUGAGUGGGAUGGAGGAGGGGGAAACCCAGCCAUCAUCCCCUUCUCUAGCCCUUCCUGUCCUCCCAGCUGAGGCUGACUGUGAGCAGAAAUGAACUUUUCCUGCUACAAUCCCAUCCAGAUCCCUGACCCUCAGAAUCAUGAACUAUAAUAAUUCCCUUUGACUGGGGCAUGGUUUGUUAUCCAGUUGAAGGCAAUCAGAACACUGAUAUAUAACAGUUGAUUAUUUUGUUCUAUGUCUAUAUGUGAUAACCAUACACACAUUCAUCCUGCUUUCUGGUUUUUCUAGUCAUUCUUGAGGAAAGGAAUUGCUGUUCAUGACUUCA